UACGUAGGGUGCAAGCGUUGUCCGGAAUUAUUGGGCGUAAAGAGCUCGUAGGCGGUUUGUCGCGUCUGCUGUGAGAACCCGAGGCUCAACCUCGGGCCUGCAGUGGGUACGGGCAGACUAGAGUGCGGUAGGGGAGAUUGGAAUUCCUGGUGUAGCGGUGGAAUGCGCAGAUAUCAGGAGGAACACCGAUGGCGAAGGCAGAUCUCUGGGCCGUAACUGACGCUGAGGAGCGAAAGCAUGGGUAGCGAACAGG
rnacentral:rRNA from 1 species